rnacentral:rRNA from 1 species
ACGCGCCCGAUCUCGCCUGCCCUCGGAAGCUGAGCAGGGUCAGGCCCCGUUAGAACUUGGGUGGGAGA